UUACAUGUGGGUGCCAUUUAUGAUGGGAGAAGUGGUGUGUUGGAGCAAAGCUUCCACUGAAGAUAGGUCCUCAUCCUCCCACUGGGACUGGGAGGAAGAAGGAGGUUAUCUCCUUAAAUACUCAAUCUCCUUAAGGUUUGAGUUUCAAGGAGCCAAGGGAGAAAAGAAGGAGGAGGAGGCAGAGGAGGAGGAGGAGAAAGAAGAAGAAGGAGGAGGAGGAGGAGAAAGAAUUUUUUUUUUUUUUGAGACGGAGUCUCACUCUGUCGCUAGGCUGGAGUGCAGUGGCGCAAUCUCUGCUCAUUGUAACCUCCUCCUCCCGGGUUCAAGCGAUUCUCCUGCCUCAGUCUCCCGAGUAGGUGGGACCACAGGCAUGCACCAUCACGCCCAGCUAAUUUUUGCCUUUUUAGUAGAGAUGGGUUUUCACCAUGUUAGCCAGCAUGGUCUUGAUCUCUUGACCUCAUGAUCCACCCACCUCGGCCUCCCAAAGUGCUGGGACUACAGGUGUGAGCCACCGCGCCCAGCUGAAGAAGAAGAAAUUUUCAUCACGAUUGUCUACUGAUGAGAUGGUUGGUCUUAUUUUUUGUUUUUGGAAUUUCUCAGUAGUUUUAACUUUUCCUGCUUCUGUGCAUUUUGCUGUGUCACAUGGGACCUAAUCACUGUUGGACACUUUGGGACAAGCAGGAAACUGGUGUCAGUCCUCAAACCACAGAGUUGUUGAAGGAGCUCCACCUGUUCCACUGGAAGAUGCCCCUGGGAAAUGAGGUGGAAGACAGUUUUGUAUGCAGUUUAGAACUUUCUCUGUGAGAACAGAUGAGAUUUUUCCUCUUAAGUUAAAUCAUGUCAUUUGGUGCACAUUGUGUGACUUCGCAGGUCAGUUUGGACAACUAGCUACGUCUAAUUUGACUUGAAACCUACACAUGAUGGAGUGCUUUCUUGUGUUUUGUCUGUGGUUUGAUUUAGGGUCAGCUUCCUUGACAGAUCUCCCUAGUGCAUUUCAGGCCCUGUGGGGCAUAGAAGAAGAGAAGUCUGAAAAGGG
rnacentral:lncRNA from 1 species